rnacentral:rRNA from 1 species
GAUGAACGCUGGCGGCGUGCCUAAUACAUGCAAGUCGAGCGAACGGACGAGAAGCUUGCUUCUCUGAUGUUAGCGGCGGACGGGUGAGUAACACGUGGAUAACCUACCUAUAAGACUGGGAUAACUUCGGGAAACCGGAGCUAAUACCGGAUAAUAUUUUGAACCGCAUGGUUCAAAAGUGAAAGACGGUCUUGCUGUCACUUAUAGAUGGAUCCGCGCUGCAUUAGCUAGUUGGUAAGGUAACGGCUUACCAAGGCAACGAUGCAUAGCCGACCUGAGAGGGUGAUCGGCCACACUGGAACUGAGACACGGUCCAGACUCCUACUGGAUGCAGCAGAAUGGAAUCUUGCGCAAUGGGCGAAAGCCUGACGGAGCAACGCCGCGUGAGUGAUGAAGGCACUCGGAGCGUAAAACUCUGUUAUUAGGGAAGAACAUAUGUGUAAGUAACUGUGCACAUCUUGACGGUACCUAAUCAGAAAGCCACGGCUAACUACGUG